GCAAGCAAGGGAACCUGUUGUUUGUUCUCGCUCCCCCACUGCAGCAGGGGCCCCAAUAAAGCCUUGCCUGCAUUUCUUAUCUGGCCUCUGAUCAAUUUCUAUUGAUUGAGGAGGCCAAGAGCCCUGGUCGGUUACAUAUUUUGUGGCACCAAACGUUGGGCCCUUGUGCCUAUCGGGGAGGAGGAUCUGGGCACCUCUGGGACCACCGAACACAGCUUCACAGUGGGUGACAAGCGGCCACCUGAACCUCUUGUUUCAGUGUCACCACGUUUGACACUGGAGCCACCUGCUCUGUUCUGACUUGGCCCAGCCGGCCCCCUCUCCAGCCAUGACUGUACAGUGAUGGGAGUUGAUGGACAGCCAAAGGUGUGCCUAACUCUGAACCCAGCAACUCUGCUUCCAGAGGCCGAGAGUGGAGACUUACUGCAUCAGUGUAUAGAGACCAGAGAAUGAACUUACUCCAGCAGCUCCGAUCUUCUAGGACCUUCCAAUUCUACCUGGAAGCAGUGUUCAACCUUACCAAACUCACCCACCAACACAUGUACAGCCUUUUGUAUCACAAGGACCUGAUUUUCAAAUUCAGCUCUCAAGGCCACAUCUUUUCUAAAUCUAGCCAAGUGGUCCAUCAGUACACAGAGAACAGCUGAGCCAGACGCCCUUCACCACACUGUGCGGCAAGGAAUGCUUCCACCUCGACCCGCCCUCCCCAGUCCUGUCCCAUGUUCUCAACAGAUGCAUAACCUCUCCAGAUGGACGCUCCUGAACUGCAGGUCCUGAAACGUCUUAACUCACUCAUGUCUCUCACUGACAUUUGUCCUUAGAAUCUGUGAUGCCUCAGGCCACAGGAGUUUUUAUUUCUCAGAAAGAGAGAAAAAGGAGAGAGCUCUCAGAACCCCCAAACUGGCACUGGAUUAUCAAGGUGCAAAGGUGCAAAAUCCUCAGAAUUCCGCCACACAGACUGAGGGGUAGGCCAGGGGGACUUAAUGAAGCAUCACGGCUUCAGUGUUGAACCUUGACAGACUAGGAGAUUUGUAAAGAUGAAAGAGGUAGCAUCAGAGGCAGAUUGAAGAACAGAUAUGAAGCUGCAGGCAGCCUGCCUUCUCCCCUCCCUAUACGCACCCGCCAGCGUGUCACUAGAGCAGCUCCUACAACCCACCAGUCUCCAGGAGCCACAGAGGGAAGCUAUGGGACUACACCUGGAGCCCUGGCAUAGCCAGAUCACAGAGCUCUCUGAAGGCCCAGCUAGUGUUCAGCCUUUCUUGAUCAAGCAAGAGACUGAUAUAUAAGACACCUCAGAUGGGUGGCAUGAUUAUAGUUCAUUUUUUAGAAAAAUGAAUCUGCUGGUGGAAUGCAAGACAGAUUGGAAAAGAUGAUGCUACAGACAUAUAAAGGAAUAGGCCAAAAUUUAUCUUUGACUAUGUUGGGUGUUUUAUCUACAGCUUCCUCUAAUCUUAAUGCUCUUUCAAGUGCUGGCUUUGAUUUGGGCAGCUGUAGUAGUCCAAUUAAACUGUAGCAGUAUUUUAUUGCAGCUGUGCUACUAUAGUUGCCCAACAGCAAUUAAUUGUUUCCUACAAAAUCAGCUUUAUUUCUGUAAUAAAAAAGCAAACAGUUAUAUAGCACUUUCUAGGUGGUAAGCAUUGUUCUAUAUGUUUUUCAUGUAUUAACUCAUUUAAUCCUUUCAAUCCUUUCAGUUCUGCCAUGAAGGUCAUAGUAUUAUGUACAUUUUAGAGAAACUGAGGCACAAAGAGGUGAAAUUUUACCACAGGUAAAUGGUGGAGCCAGGAUUUGAACCCAAGUAGUUAAACUCCAGGGUCUGUGCUCUUAACCACUAUAUUGAAGCAAUAACUCCAGUUUUCUCUGAGAUCUCUCCCAUUACUUGUUCAUGAGGAUCUGCGCUAUUACCUAGUAUAUAGAAGUUUCCUCUUUUUAAUUCAGAGCAAU